GUGGAUGUGUCUAAGGGGUAAAGUUCUUGCCUGGCAUGAUGCAUGAGGUCCUGGGUUCAAAUCCCCAAGCACC
rnacentral:tRNA from 1 species